rnacentral:rRNA from 1 species
AUCAACUUUCGAUGGUAGGAUAGAGGCCUACCAUGGUGGUAACGGGUAACGGGGUGUUAGGGCACGACACCGGAGAGGGAGCCUGAGAAACGGCUACCACAUCCAAGGAUGGCAGCAGGCGCGCAAAUUACCCAAUCCCGACACGGGGAGGUAGUGACAAUAAAUAACAAUACGGGGUCCUUUCGGGUUUCGUAAUUGGAAUGAGUACAAUUUAAAUCUCUUAACGAGGAACAAUUGGAGGGCAAGUCUGGUGCCAGCAGCCGCGGUAAUUCCAGCUCCAAUAGCGUAUAUUAAAGUUGUUGCAGUUAAAAAGCUCGUAGUUGAAUUUCGGGAUCAGUUCGUCGGUCGUGCCUUUGGUAUGUACUGGUGUUACUGGUUCCUCCCUUCUGACGAACCGUCAUGUCAUUAAUUUGGUGUGGCGGGAAAUCAGGACUGUUACUUUGAAAAAAUUAGAGUGUUUAAAGCAGGCUCGCGCUUGAAUACAUUAGCAUGGAAUAAUGAAAUAGGACGUUCGAUCCUAUUUUGUUGGUUUCUAGGAUUGACGUAAUGAUUAAUAGGGAUAGUUGGGGGCAUUAGUAUUCAAUUGUCAGAGGUGAAAUUCUUGGAUUUAUUGAAGACUAACUACUGCGAAAGCAUUUGCCAAGGAUGUUUUCAUUAAUCAAGAACGAAAGUUAGGGGAUCGAAGACGAUCAGAUACCGUCGUAGUCUUAACCAUAAACUAUGCCGACUAGGGAUCGGAUGAUGUUAAUUUUUUAAUGACUCAUUCGGCGCCUUACGGGAAACCAAAGUGUUUGGGUUC